GAGCUGAGAUGAUACCUUUAAAAUGUUUUAGUGGGUUUGCACGUACAAGGACAAUGUACAAAACUGGAUAGAAGAUAGCUGCUUGAAUAAAAUUGCCAACAGUAUUGGUUAACACAAAAAGACCCAUAGCUCUGAAAAGCAAAGUGAUAUCACUUGCUUCCACGAUAUUUCCUGCAAUUACACUGCAAAUUCCAACAGGGGCCACCCUGUAAAACAAUAUCAAAUAAUCGAGUUGAUUGAAGCUCUUAGAAUUUUAAUAAGCUAUAUUCACUAUAGAAUUCAUAGGAGAACAGGUCUAGAAAACGAAAC